UCUCUCAAGAGAUCGGCUCCUCUUAAAAGCAUUAGUGGGAACCGUUUGUAGGGGUUCAAUAUUAUUCACUUGACGUGAUAGUUUAUCGUCGUCAUCCAGUUGAAUAGGAACUCUGAGGCUCUUGCUUUCUAACCGUCCGCAAGGACAGCUUCAUAUUUUAAUGUGACCUCAAAUCAGGUAGGACUACCCGCUGAACUUAA
rnacentral:misc_RNA from 1 species